AAAUUGAAGAGUUUGAUCAUGGCUCAGAUUGAACGCUGGCGGCAGGCCUAACACAUGCAAGUCGAACGGUAACAGGAAACAGCUUGCUGUUUCGCUGACGAGUGGCGGACGGGUGAGUAAUGUCUGGGAAACUGCCCGAUGGAGGGGGAUAACUACUGGAAACGGUAGCUAAUACCGCAUAACGUCGCAAGACCAAAGAGGGGGACCUUCGGGCCUCUUGCCAUCGGAUGUGCCCAGAUGGGAUUAGCUAGUAGGUGGGGUAACGGCUCACCUAGGCGACGAUCCCUAGCUGGUCUGAGAGGAUGACCAGCCACACUGGAACUGAGACACGGUCCAG
rnacentral:rRNA from 1 species